CCUAAGAGGAGCCCACAGAGAGCUCUCUCUGUAGUUAUACAUAGGAGACAGCUGUCGACAAGCCAGAGGGAGCGCUCACACCAUACAGCAAAUUUGCUAGCAUCUUGAUAUCAACAUAGAGCUUACAGAGCUCUGAGAAUAAUGGCUGGAUCUCAUCCCCCAGAGCAGCUGUCUUCCAAGCAGUUUUCUGUGGACUUCAUCCGGAAACCUGUUCCACACAUGAACUCUUGGCUUGUCUUCCUAGGAGUGGGUCUCAGCAGCCUGCGCCUCCCCCUGAGGGUACUUGGAUGUCUGCAAGCUCUGGUCUGAGAGGAAGCUGCUAGGCAACAUGGUGGGGUGGGCACCUGAAGAGUCACAAAGCUGUGCAAGCAGAUACACAUACGAUGGAGUGGGAAAGAGAGGAUGGAGGGGACCUCUUAAGGAGGCUGAGCUUCGUCUAGACACUAAAGGAAAAAGGAAGCGCGGCCUGAGCAGGAUACAGAAGAAACUAGAGAAAGGAGAACAGUUCGAAGAGAUGCUCUGUGGUUAUCACCUACAGCUUGCUUCUUCAAGUGCGGUCCCACACCUGGUCAUCUGGGAGCGAGUGAGGCUGUGAAUCUCUGGUUCCAUACUGACACUGAAUCUAAACCUGCAUUUUAACUAAAGCCCUAGGUAACACACAACCACAUAAACAGUCUCCGUGGCCACUGGGAACUGACAGCCUGCUUUGUGUGCAAGAAGUAGGGAGGAGAAUUGUACAUCACAUAUCUCCAAGACUAGGUCAC